rnacentral:rRNA from 1 species
AGAUGUUGGGUUAAGUCCCGCAACGAGCGCAACCCUGACCUUAGUUGCCAGCAUUCAGUUGGGCACUCUAAGGUGACUGCCGGCUAAAAGUCGGAGGAAGUGGGGAUGACGUCAAAUCAUCAUGCCCCUUAUGACCUGGGCUACACACGUGCUACAAUGGGCGGUACAAAGGGUCGCGAACCCGCGAGGGGGAGCCAAUCCCAAAAAGCCGCUCUCAGUUCGGAUUGCAGGCUGCAACUCGCCUGCAUGAAGCCGGAAUCGCUAGUAAUCGCGGAUCAGCAUGCCCGCGGUCGAAUACGUUCCGGGCCUU